rnacentral:rRNA from 1 species
UACAGAGGGUGCGAGCGUUAAUCGGAAUUACUGGGCGUAAAGCGUGCGCAGGCGGUUGUUCAAGACAGAUGUGAAAUCCCCGGGCUUAACCUGGGAAUUGCAUUUGUGACUGCACGGCUAGAGUGUGUCAGAGGGGGGUAGAAUUCCACGUGUAGCAGUGAAAUGCGUAGAUAUGUGGAGGAAUACCGAUGGCGAAGGCAGCCCCCUGGGAUAACACUGACGCUCAUGCACGAAAGCGUGGGGAGCAAACAGG